rnacentral:misc_RNA from 1 species
GGGAAUUUGCAAAGACUUCAUUACCUUAGCUUCCUCUGCCAUGCUUUCUAACCUUGAUUUGCAGGUUUCUAGCAGCUCUACCUUUAAUGAUUCCAAUGGGCGACUGGGUUGAGGAAAGUUUAGAUAUGUUAUCUCUUGCAGGAGGAAAUCUAGCUAAAGAUGUUCCUUCAAUGAUCUUCCUGGUGUCUGCUGGCCACAGGAGCGGUAAUGGCGG